GGGUUGAUUCGAAGUAUCCUCGUAGAGUUGAUCAACCCUUUGUGCACUGUUUUGUUUUUUGGGUCUCGUUUCGCCGUAAGGCUUGAGGCCCAGCAUUUAUACAAACCAUACCAAUUUUGACUUAAUCCUAUGAAAAUAGAAACAACUUUUGACAACGGAUCUCUUGGCUCUCGCAACGAUGAAGAACGCAGCGAAAUGCGAUACGUAAUGUGAAUUGCUUUCCGUGAAUCAUCGAAUCUUUGAACGCACAUUGCACUCCUUUGGAGUAUGCCUGUUUGAGAAUCUAUAGUAUUUAUUUUUGGUUAUUUCGCAAGAGAUAAUCAAGAGAUUUGAGGUGUCUCUUUCGAGAGUACCUUUAAUGUUAUAGCCUCUUUUGUGGUAAAACAACUCUGCAGAACAGUAUUUGAAUGGAACUUUGGUUUCUUUAAUGCCUAAUAUGCAGACUUACCUAUUGAAAAGGGGGUCCAUAAACUUAAAGUAGUACCUCGGUGCUACUUGAACCAUGGUCUCAAAUCAGGUAGGAAGACCCGCUGAACUUAAGCAUAUCAAUAAGCGGAGGGAA
rnacentral:rRNA from 1 species